rnacentral:misc_RNA from 1 species
GAUGUGUAUAAGGGCCAGGUGAGUCAUCGAAUCUUUGAACGCACAUUGCGCCCCCUGGUACUCCGGGGGGCAUGCCUGUUCGAGCGUCAUUUCAACCCUCAAGCUCUGCUUGGUGUUGGGCCGCGCCGGUUCGCCGGCGGGCCUCAAAAUCAGUGGCGGCGCCAUCUGGCUCCACGCGUAGUAGUUUUCUCUCGCGUCCGGACGCCCGGUGGUGGCUAGCCAGCAACCCCCCAUUUUCACAGGUUGACCUCGGAUCAGGUAGGGAUACCCGCUGAACUUAAGCAUAUCAAUAAGCGGAGG